rnacentral:rRNA from 1 species
GACGAACGCUGGCGGCGUGCUUAACACAUGCAAGUCGAACGGAAAGGCCCCUUUGGGGGUACUCGAGUGGCGAACGGGUGCGUAACACGUGAGUAACCUGCCCUUGACUUCGGGAUAACUUCAGGAAACUGGGGCUAAUACCGGAUAGGAAUCCUUGCUGCAUGGUGGGGGUUGGAAAGCUUCGGCGGUUUUGGAUGGACUCGCGGCUUAUCAGCUUGUUGGUGGGGUAGUGGCUUACCAAGGCUUUGACGGGUAGCCGGCCUGAGAGGGCGACCGGCCACAUUGGGACUGAGAUACGGCCCAGACGCCUACGGGAGGCAGCAGUGGGGAAUAUUGCACAAUGGGCGGAAGCCUGAUGCAGCAACGCCGCGUGCGGGAUGACGGCCUUCGGGUUGUAAACCGCUUUCAGCAGGGGCGAAGCUUGUGGUGACGGUACCUGCAGAAGAAGCACCGGCUAACUACGUG